CUAACUUGGGCAGAUCUAGCUGUAUUUGACUUCACACAAGAGGUUUUAGCCGUUUGGAAACACGAAAAACUUAAUUUUCUAGAAGAAUUCAACAAACAUCACGAAGGAAUCAAAGCUGUUCCGAAAAUCAAGAAAUGGUUGGAAACGAGACCAAAGACAGAACGGUGAAUCCCGAUAUUUUUUACUGACACGUUUAUGUUUUGUGUUUAAUUGUAUGUCUUUGUUUACCAAGCGAACAAAUAAUGCCACCAUUGUGCAUUGAUUUUGUCAUCUGUCAAAAAUCAUUAAAUCAAAAUAAAAUAAAAAUAUAUCGAUCACCACUGGCACUUUUCUCUGUAUUUGUUUCUACAAAAUCUUUGAAAUUUUAAAGUUAAUCAAAUGUUCUUAGGUUAAUUAUGAGUACGUCAAUACCCAAUAACCAACUCAAUCUCCCAUGCAGAGUUAUCGGUCCUUGCUCUCUCUCAAGGACCGAUAACUCCUUACAAUCAUCCAAUACACUAAAUAUAGUUGACCUAUUGUUUGUAGAUUCAAAUAAAACAGACUUAGCCAAG
rnacentral:lncRNA from 1 species